AUAAAUUCUUGCAUAUAACAAUGAACUAAUGCAACACUAAGCUAAGUUCAUAACAAAUAAUUUUAGCUUAUUCUUUCUUUUGAUCAAACAAUGACUUAUGUUAAGCUUGCUAAUUUGGCUGUCUUCAUGCUCACCACAUUCUUAAUCAUCCAGACAGACGAAGAACGUUGAAGCAAGGCAUUGUGCAAGAUAUGGUAUGCCUUGUGCAGUAUUUGAGUCGAAUCCAUGCGGCAAUUCCAUAACGUGUCAGUGUGUCAGUUUGUACAUAUUUGGAAUGUCCUGCAUUGACUAUACGGGUGAUGGCCUCUAACUCUAAUGAAAAAAACUACUUGAAGAUGGCUUUGGAAAUUGCCACUUAAGAAUCAUGCAACUAUAAUAUGUCUGAAAAUAUUUUCGGACACUAUUGAAAAAGACUACUUGAAGACAGCUUUGGAAAUUUCUACUUAAGAAUGAUAUGUCUCAAAAACUAAAAAUCAACCAUGCAUGUUAUCCUCCUUAAAAAAAAAAUAAACCAUGCAUGUUAUCAUGCAUCUACUACUUUAAAUAAAACAACCUUUAUUUCCUAUUCAUCAAUUGUAUUUCUUUGAUAUCCGUCUGGAUUUUAAUAAACUAGUAUAUAGUGACCCGUGCCAGCACGGGGAAAUAAUAACCUUUUUGGAUCAAAUGUAUAGAUUUUAAAUUCGAUAUGAAAAAAAUAUCAUCUUAAUUUUGUAUA